UUUAAAUCUGGCAUGUUCUCUGAUAUGAUCCAAACAUAAAGCAGAUUAAACUCGUAGAAAGUUCCUAUUAAAAGCUUGUUUUCUGAUGCUGGGUGCGCCAGACGUGAGCAGGAUGGAGGGAGAGAGAAAGGGGGAAGAGCAGUGACUCCUGCUGCUGGGGGUGGGGGGCUGAGGCUGAGGAAGGGUGGGAGAAGAGAAACGCGUAAUCACCCAAACAUCCGCUGUUUUCACCCCCUCUUCUGGAUCUGCGCGGAAAGAGUCCUGCUGCAGUCUGCAGGGAGGCUGCCGGGGACCAAGGACCGGGGUGGGGGAGGCCGGACCACGAAAGAGACACCGGAAAGAAUGGGUAAUGCCAUUAAGAACUGGCUGGUGGUGAGUGGGCCACUCCUGACCUAUGAGGGUGUAUCUUUUGGCACAUUUUGGGUGAAGAUGUAAAUAUGACACCCUCUUACCAAGAGAACAUCAUUCCUAAACUCCAUUUUUAUGGAAGCUGUGUUGUGAGAAAUGUGGAGCUCCCAGAACCCAUUCUUCACACAAGGUCUGAGAAGAAAGUCUAUCAGGAAGAUGAAAAAUGACGUGCAGCUGGCUGAGCACUUCCUCUUGCUGGGGUCAACAGUUCAUUAUGCUGAUAGAGACCAUUACACCUCCUCUAAUAGGUGCUCCCCUGCACUCACACAAGUUGGUAUACUGCUUCACGGGACAGCCAUCAGUGCCUCCUUUGUCUUCACUGUCUCUUGUUACACAACUCCAUUAUUGCAGUAACUAGAGACUGACAAUUUGUUCAAAACUA